rnacentral:rRNA from 1 species
UGAGCAAUCUGCCCUUCACAUCGGAAUAAGCGUUGGAAACGACGUCUAAUGCCGAAUACGACCUCCUUUCGCAUGAUCGGAGGUGGAAAGCUCCGGCGGAGAAGGAUGAGCUCGCGGCCUAUCAGCUAGUUGGUGUGGGUAAUGGCCCACCAAGGCGACGACGGGUAGCCGGCCUGAGAGGGNGACCGGCCACACUGGGACUGAGACACGGCCCAGACUCCUAUGGGAGG